rnacentral:lncRNA from 1 species
AGUGACUUCACCUCUCCACGUCUCAGUUUGCUCGCAGGAGUAGGGUGGGCUGAGGUGGAAGACGGAGCCCAGCGCCAGGGAAACUUCUGGGCAGGGAGAGCUGGUGCAAGUCCGGGGCGGCCAUCUGGGACCCAAACUGCGGCAGCACCAUGGACAGCAGACAGGGCCCCAGGUCCGGAGCCCGUUUUCACAGCAGGGGCUGUGGAGCUGCCCGGCUAGGCCGAGACCUCCAUGUCUGCGUGCAUCCCAGC